UUUUUUUCCUUUUUUUUCUUCUUUUUCUUCUUUUUCUUGUGAUAUUUUUGUGAGG
rnacentral:ribozyme from 14 species